UGGAGAGUUUGAUCCUGGCUCAGGACGAACGCUGGCGGCGUGCUUAACACAUGCAAGUCGAGCGGAAAGGCCCCUUCGGGGGUACUCGAGCGGCGAACGGGUGAGUAACACGUGAGCAACCUGCCCCUGACUCUGGGAUAAGCUUGGGAAACUGGGUCUAAUACCGGAUAUGACCAGCCUCCGCAUGGUGUGUUGGUGGAAAGUUCUUCGGUUGGGGAUGGGCUCGCGGCCUAUCAGCUUGUUGGUGGGGUGAUGGCCUACCAAGGCGACGACGGGUAACCGGCCUGAGAGGGCGACCGGUCACACUGGGACUGAGACACGGCCCAGACUCCUACGGGAGGCAGCAGUGGGGAAUAUUGCGCAAUGGGCGGAAGCCUGACGCAGCGACGCCGCGUGGGGGAUGACGGCCUUCGGGUUGUAAACCUCUUUCAGCAGGGACGAAGCUUACGUGACGGUACCUGCAGAAGAAGCGCCGGCUAACUACGUGCCAGCAGCCGCGGUAAUACGUAGGGCGCAAGCGUUGUCCGGAAUUAUUGGGCGUAAAGAGCUCGUAGGCGGUUUGUCGCGUCUGUCGUGAAAGCCCACGGCUUAACCGUGGGUCUGCGGUGGAUACGGGCAGACUAGAGGCAGGUAGGGGAGAAUGGAAU
rnacentral:rRNA from 1 species